CGAUUUUUCUAUUAAUAGCGGAGGAAAGAAACCAACAGGGAUUGCCCUAGUAACGGCGAGUGAAGCGGCAACAGCUCAAAUUUGAAAUCUGGCGUCUUCGGCGUCCGAGUUGUAAUUUGCAGAGGGCGCUUUGGCAUUGGCAGCGGUCCAAGUUCCUUGGAACAGGACGUCACAGAGGGUGAGAAUCCCGUACGUGGUCGCUAGCCUUUACCGUGUAAAGCCCCUUCGACGAGUCGAGUUGUUUGGGAAUGCAGCUCUAAAUGGGAGGUAAAUUUCUUCUAAAGCUAAAUACUGGCCAGAGACCGAUAGCGCACAAGUAGAGUGAUCGAAAGAUGAAAAGCACUUUGGAAAGAGAGUUAAAAAGCACGUGAAAUUGUUGAAAGGGAAGCGCUUGCAGCCAGACUUGCCUGUAGUUGCUCAUCCGGGUUUCUACCCGGUGCACUCUUCUAUAGGCAGGCCAGCAUCAGUUUGGGCGGUUGGAUAAAGGUCUCUGUCAUGUACCUCCUUUCGGGGAGAUCUUAUAGGGGAGACGACAUGCAACCAGCCUGGACUGAGGUCCGCGCAUCUGCUAGGAUGCUGGCGUAAUGGCUGUAAGCGGCCCGUCUUGAAACACGGACCAAGGAGUCUAACAUCUAUGCGAGUGUUUGGGUGUCAAGCCCGAACGCGUAAUGAAAGUGAACGGAGGUGGGAACCUUUCGGGGUGCACCAUCGACCGAUCCUGAUGUCUUCGGAUGGAUUUGAGUAAGAGCAUAGCUGUUGGGACCCGAAAGAUGGUGAACUAUGCUUGAAUAGGGUGAAGCCAGAGGAAACUCUGGUGGAGGCUCGCAGCGGUUCUGACGUGCAAAUCGAUCGUCAAAUUUGGGCAUAGGGGCGAAAGACUAAUCGAACUAUCUAUAGCUGGUCUCAGAAAGCCCCCC
rnacentral:rRNA from 1 species